rnacentral:lncRNA from 1 species
UGGGGUGAAAUUAUGAUAAGAAAAUCCAGUCUAUUAGACUGAACAGUUUCUUGACAGGAAGUUGGCCAAGGGACAGGGGUGGAAGCCCUGUGGCUCAGGGCACCCCGAACUAGGCUGGACAAAAGACCCUACAAACAUACAGAAUGGAACAGUCCUGCACUGGGAGUGGCACCAAACAGCCUAAUGUCUUCACGUCUAGGAUUCUCAGACCGCCCCAGGAGUGCUCCUCAGGCAAGGGGUUCU